CUCAAGAAGCACUUAAAGAACAACAAGUCCAAUGGAUCCAUUAGUUAUUCUUCAAAGUUCAAACACUAUUUGAAACAAGAAUUGAAGAAUAUGGAAGUUAUGUGGUGAGUGAUUUCCAUGCUAUGCUUGUCAAGUGAGCAGUCCUUUUUGCUGUUAACCUUGGUCUCAUUGUCUGUUCGACCUUAAAAAAGAAAUAAACACACGAAGAACUUAAAUUUACUA